rnacentral:ncRNA from 1 species
UAAGGGGUGCCCGCACGAUUGGCGGAGCUGAGAAUAUACCCGAUAACCUGAUCCAGGUAAUGCUGGCGUAGGUAGGUCUA